UGGGGAAUUUUGGACAAUGGGCGAAAGCCUGAUCCAGCCAUACCGCGUGAGUGAAGAAGGCCUUCGGGUUGUAAAGCUCUUUCAGCCGGAAAGAAAUCGCGUUGGUUAAUAUCCGGCGUGGAUGACGGUACCGGAAGAAGAAGCACUGGCUAACUACGUACCAGCAGCCGCGGUAAUACGUAGGGUGCGAGCGUUAAUCGGAAUUACUGGGCGUAAAGCGUGCGCAGGCGGUUUGAUAAGCCAGAUGUGAAAUCCCCGGGCUUAACCUGGGAACUGCAUUUGGAACUGGCAGGCUAGAGUGUGGCAGAGGGGGUGGAAUUCCACGUGUAGCAGUGAAAUGCGUAGAUAUGUGGAGGAACACCGAUGGCGAAGGCAGCCCCCUGGGUUAACACUGACGCUCAUGCACGAAAGCGUGGGGAGCAAACAGGAUUAGAUACCCGAGUAGUCCCUGAGCGGGCUGGCAAGGCGCAU
rnacentral:rRNA from 1 species